UUCUUAUUAGCUCAAUGGUAGAGCGGAAUACUUCUAAUAUUUGCAUCUAAGUUCGACUCUUAGAUAAGAAU
rnacentral:tRNA from 1 species